GAAUAAAAAAGAGGUGAGAGAGUUUUUUUUUUUAAAUCAGACUACCAUGGAAACUGCUUUACCCAGCCUUCUGGUCCACACCCUUCAUUAGAUGACCCACCAGGACAGACAAAGGGAGCGGAAUCCACCAGACCCAGUUUGUCAGAAACGCUGUUAGAAUCCAACUGACUUUUGUAAACUGAAGUGUAACUCCUAACAGAACAAUGCUGGCCCAGCGAUUUGAGAUGAUAGCAAAAGACAACAGAACAGACAGAACUGAACUGAGCGGCCGACUCCAGUGAGACUCUCUCCAAACCUCCUGGGCUUCUCAAGCAUGGGAAGAGGGUGUUGGCACUGACUCCUAGUCACCACUCGUUGCCCCCAAAGUGGGACAAGACCAAAAACUGGGACAGAGGGACAUCAAAACCUAACUCUAAGAUGACAUAUCAGUGAUGCUUUUGGAGAAACAGCUUGACCAAAAGGAGGAAAUGUGAAAGUUGUCAGAACCAACACAAGUCACUUAAUGGUAAGAAAACCCUGAAAAACGGAGCCGGGAAGGCUGUGAACGGAGGUGCUCAUGCUUGUGUCUGAUAACCAAAAAUAUCACGAGAGACUCUACAAAACCACAGCCUUGCACAAAAGCCAUCACAACCUUGCACAAAAAAUCCUUCUGCAAGGACUUCUGCCCAGCAACUGCCUAUCCAGCCCCAGACAGGCACCACCCUUGUAACUGACCUUUAUAGCCAAGGAUAAUUAUUUCAAAACAAUUAUGUAAUCCUCCUCUUUUUCCUUUAAAAGCCUUUGUCUUCCUUUUGCCUCCCCAAAUAUGCAGAUAGUUCACUCUGGGAUGCAUAUUCCCAGUGCAAUGUUCUCCUCCCAAGUCAAGGUCUUUUCCUGUAGAGAGAGAGCCUCCCCCUGUCUGUGCAAGCUGCUUGUGGGCAAGUGGGAGUUUGAGAAGCACUGGUUGGCUCAACAAGGGUCAGGCUGAGGCCCCUGGACAGAUUUACUGGCAUGUGUGCAGAAAGUGCAUCUGGGGUUGGGAGGCAGAGCCACCUCCCUCCCUCUGCCCUCCAUCACCAGAGCAGGGCUCUUCAGCUGACCCUUUCCUGGCAGUAUCACAUCUAGCUCUGUGAUCUGAGUGCUACAUAUAGACUUUCUCUCCAACAAAAACUUGAGCUGAAAUAUGCAAUUUUUCUAGUGUUUCCAAAAUAACCUGUACUUUCCAUCCUGAAAGUUUCUUGAAUGGAGACACACAUUUCAAACGUGUCCAUGCAGGGACAUGUGCAUGCACCAUGCCGCUUUGGGGACACUUGUCCUCUUCUGUAAUGCUCUCUCUCACUCAGGAAUUCCUCACACAGCUAUUUCUAUCAGUGGCUCCACCCAACCUGGGAAAGUACAGCCUGCCCUUCACACCGAGUUCUUCCAGCCCAGUGAACGUCUUUUUCUCUUCACUUCACUUUUUCACCACUGUAGUACCCUGUUUGCCAAACGUGUUUCUGCAAACUCAUCUCUGACCUAGGAAGGUGGCUCCGCAGAUGCCCUGUGUGGGGACGGGCCUGGAGUUGCUGCAGAGAUUGGCUGUGGCCUGUCCACACUCAUUCACAAGGCUUGCAACAAAAAGCUCAGCCCAUCUCUGUGCCGUCUUAUCCUUAGAUAAGAUAUCCAAUAAAAAUGAAGACUCAGAGUCCAAGGCACCUGACUACAUUCAUGAAAAUGACAGAACAUCUGAAAUUAGGACCGUCUCAGACAAUGUGGGACAGGUGGUUACAAAGCCCGUAAGAAGACACAGCUGGCACCCUGGCCUGAAGCUCCUCGCUCUAGUUGCCAAAAAGGUGCAAUUUGUCCACGUUUUCCCUCUUGUCUUUUCUUCUGUAGCAGGUGAGAAUGGACCAGAUUUCCUACCAUUGGAAUAGUAAGAAGAGCAAUGAUAAUAACUACUUGCAUUUAAUUUAUAAUCAUCUGCGGUCACAUGCUCUACAAUGAGCUAUACCCCUAAGCCUCUGCAAAAUUACAGAAACCAUAAUAUUGUAAUCACUCGAUUGUUAAUAUUAAGAAAAAAUUCUUGAGUAAAUAAAUAUUAAAGACACUGUUGUUGUAUGUGGUAUUGGAUGGAAAGGGAUCUGACAUCCAAACACACGAUGCUGAAUUUCCAAUGUUUAACAACUGCUCUAGCACUCAGCUUAAAACACCCCAGGCUGUAAGCGCUGCCAGCGGCUAGGCUCGAGGCCUCAGAGGAGCUGCCUUUUGAGAACAUGAUUUUAACAGCAAGAAGAAAGUGAAAGUGUGAGUCAGCUGGGACUCAGGCAACGCCGGGCACCUGUUGCACAGCACCCUUGCAGAAACAGGUUUGACUUUUUAAAUCUUCUUUAUUUUUUAACCAACUACAGCAUGACUCACAUGGGUGGCACCUCUCUAACAUCUCAAACGGUCAUUUUAAAAUACCUGGACGCUAAUCUGGACACGUCUGGGAGCACUCACGAUCCAGAGGGGCUCAGGAGGGUAGAAGAAAACCCAGCCAGCAGGAGUGCCCGUGGGGCCCACCCAGUCACUGGGGUACAGGAGUGUUCAGAGAGCACCUGGGAGGUCCACUGGAGAGGGCAGCAGGCCUUCCACUGUUCUGUGCCAUCAGAACCACCUGCCCACGGCUCCCCCAAUCUGGGGGCUUCAUCCCCUGCCAGCCUCUUUGCUUCCUUUCCACAAUUAAUGGAACCAAGAAGUCGGCAGGAUGCCCACCAGCACCAGGACCUGCCCUGGGCUGAGGGCUGGAAGUCACGUUUGUCCCCAUGCUCACUGCGGCAGCUCCGGCCCCUCCGGCACGAGGUGACCUCGUGACUUUCAGCGUCCAUUCUUUCCUUGCAGGUGCUGUGCACUGGGAAUGCUGCCCCCAAAUGCACACUGCCUGGAACCUUCAAGCAUGACCUUACUGGAAAGAGGGUCUCUGCAGAGGAAAAGAGAAACUCAGACACAGACAGGGACAGCAAGAGAGCCCCAUGACGAUAGGCGGAGACUGGAGUGACGCAGUCACCACCAAUGACACCAAGAGCUGCCUGGAGCCACCAGGAGCUGGGAGAGAAGAAAGGACCCUCCCCCAGGCCGUCAGAGGGCGCGCACCCUGGUGACGCCCUGACUUUGGACUUCUGGCCUCCAAAGCUGUGAGAGGACAAAUUUGUGUUGCUUUACAUCACCUAGUUUGUAUCAUCUGUUCCAACAGCCCCAGGAAUCCUUGUAACCUUUAUCCUGGAGGCUGCUGGGUCUUCAUAUAAACAGCCUGCAGGACGCACCCAUGUGUGCUGCCCCCAGGGAGGAGGAGCAGCUGUGCCCAGUAGCCACCAAGACUCUAGCUCAUGAGAGAAUGGUCAUAAAACAGGCCAGUGAGGGGGAGGGGGUUAGUUAAUUCAGAGACAUUUUAAGCACAACAGAAAAGAUUGUUUGCUUCCUUUAUACAGAUCUGGUAUGAUUUCUUCUUUUUGCUUGAGGGAGGAGAUAAAUUUUGUCAGAUGUUCUUGACGGCCAAGGGUGAACGGACUCAGUAAAUUAAAAAAAUAUUUAAGUCCCAGGUGGCAGCAUCCAUCCCUAAUGAGGCCAGGCACCCAGGGCUACAAAAGUAGCCUCUCAGUCAGGGAGUGUCGGGGAAGACACCGGACCCACAGCCAGGCCCUGUGUUCCCAGGAAGGAGAUGUCCGGCUCCCAGUGGAAAUGCCCUGAGUCAUUCUCAAGCUGGGGAAACCGAUCUCCGCACUGGGGAAGAGGAUCCACUUGUUCUAACCAGUAUUUUUGACAUUUUAGAAGAAGCAUUUCUUGUCUGUGUGGCAGGGUCCACAAAUUCCCCCCGAACGAGAGCUGGAGAGACUGAGCAUGCUCUGGACGCCUCCAUGACAAGUCAGCUCUGCGGCCACGCAGGUGGUUUCCCACUCCAGGUGUAAACAAACAUUUUAAAGCACAAGUUCCAAACCGACCCUGGGCCUUCAUUUGCAUCCUGGAAAUUUUCAGGAAGGUCUGCCGUGGGCUGGGGGUGGACCCCAAGGCUGGGUGGGGGGAGGGGAGAUGGGGAUGGGGGUGAUGUAGAAUUCUGGUUUCCUAUCCUCACUGUGAAAUCUCCAGCUUAUAUUUUCAACAUUUGCCUCCUUUUCUUAAUUACUUGGCCUGAUCUUUGCAUUGGAGGUGGUUCUUUAAGACCUUUCUCCCUGGACCACCCAGAAAGUUGCCGAAGGACUGGAGGUCUUUCAGAGUCCGUGAACUCCCAGACGAGGCUGGGAGACUGGCUGUGGCUGGGCCUCAGCUUCAGACUUCGAGAUCCCAGGCCAAUAACGAGAACAGAACUUCAGUGUGGACAUUCAAAUUUUACUCUUUUCAACAUGGAAUUAGGAAUUUCCUUCUCAUCUUGCUUCAGUGAGCCUUUCUGUAAAUGGGGACAAUUUAGCAUCUGCCUCUCGGGGCUUUGCACAGAUGAUGAGAGAUCCCUGGAGUCUGGAAACACUGCCGUACAUGGGGCCUCGCUGGGCUCAGUCAGAGGAAGCACUUCUGGGGACGCCUUCACACCCCCUCC